rnacentral:tRNA from 1 species
CGCGGGGUAGAGCAGAGGUUAGCUUGUCACUUUGACUUGGUGAAGGUCGUUGGUUCGAAUCCAGCCCCCGCUACAA